UACGGGGGGUGCGAGCGUUGUCCGGAAUUACUGGGCGUAAAGGGCGCGUAGGUGGCCAACUAAGUCAGACGUGAAAUCCCUCGGCUUAACCGGGGAACUGCGUCUGAUACUGGAUGGCUUGAGUUUGGGAGAGGGACGCGGAAUUCCAGGUGUAGCGGUGAAAUGCGUAGAUAUCUGGAGGAACACCGGUGGCGAAGGCGGCGUCCUGGACCAAUACUGACACUGAAACGCGAAAGCCAGGGGAGCAAACGGG
rnacentral:rRNA from 1 species